CUUCCCUUAGUGAACCUGCGGAGGGAUCA
rnacentral:rRNA from 1 species